rnacentral:tRNA from 1 species
GCGUUCGUGGUCUAGCGGUAUGAUGAGAGCCUUCCAAGCUCUGGGUCCGGGUUCAACUCCCGGCGGACGCA